CUUCACCGAGCCGAGCAGCAGCGGCUGUUCGCGAUCCUGCCCGUAGGUGGCCAGCAACGCCUGCGCUUC
rnacentral:antisense_RNA from 1 species